GGAGGUGACUGGUGCCUGGUGGUGCCCCUGGUCUUCAAAACCAGUGUGGGGCCUGAAAGGGUCCUAGGUGGGUUCGAUUCCCAUUCACCUCCGCCA
rnacentral:tRNA from 1 species